rnacentral:rRNA from 1 species
UUCCGGAGAGGGAGCCUGAGAAACGGCUACCACAUCCAAGGAAGGCAGCAGGCGCGCAAAUUACCCACUCCCGGCACGGGGAGGUAGUGACGAAAAAUAACGAUACGGGACUCAUCCGAGGCCCCGUAAUCGGAAUGAGUACACUUUAAAUCCUUUAACCAGGAUCAAUUGGAGGGCAAGUCUGGUGCCAGCAGCCGCGGUAACACCAGCUCCAAUAGCGUAUAUUAAAGUUGUUGCGGUUAAAAAGCUCGUAGUUGAAUCUGUGUCCCACACUGUCGGUUCACCGCUCGCGGUGUUAACUGGCAUGUCUGUGGGACGUCCUACCGGUGGGCUCAGCCCGUCAAACGGCGGCCCAACUCAAAAUCCUACCACGGUGCUCUUCACCGAGUGUCGAGGUGGGCCGGUACGUUUACUUUGAACAAAUUAGAGUGCUUAAAGCAGGCUCAUUCGCCUGAAUAUUCUGUGCAUGGAAUAAUGGAAUAGGACCUCGGUUCUAUUUUGUUGGUUUUCGGAAUCCGAGGUAAUGAUUAAUAGGGACAACUGGGGGCAUUCGUAUUGCGACGUUAGAGGUGAAAUUCUUGGAUCGUCGCAGGACGGACAGAAGCGAAAGAAAUGUGUUUUCAUCAAUCAAGAACGAAAGUUAGAGGCGCAAAGGCGAUCAGAUACCGCCCUAGUUCUAACCAUAAACUAUGCCAGCUAGCGAUCCGCCGAAGUUCCUCCGAUGACUCGGCGGGCAGCUUCCGGGAAACCAAAGCUUUUGGGUUCCGGGGGAAGUAUGGUUGCAAAGCUGAAACUUAAAGGAAUUGACGGAAGGGCACCACCAGGAGUGGAGCCUGCG